rnacentral:lncRNA from 1 species
UUUUUUUAUAUCAUUUACCUAGUGAUCGAAAGGAUUCAAAAAUCCAUAAUUUUUAAUGGUUGAUAUCUGCCGUUUUCACGUUUAACAGUGUAGAAGUAUUCAAAUCAGAUGAAAUUUUGAUAGAAAAUUCUUUAUACUAUCUACAACAAGAUCUAUAUUUCUGAUCGAAAAUUUUAGUGCUAUAUCACCACUUUUUAUAGGAUUUUUAUUUUCAGCCGUUAAAAAUUAUUGAUUUUGAAUCCUUUCGAUUGCUAGGUAUAUGAUAUCGAAAAAUCGCAAAAAUUAUUUUCUAGAAACUUUA